UGGGGAAUAUUGCGCAAUGGGGGCAACCCUGACGCAGCCAUGCCGCGUGAGUGAAGAAGGCCUUAGGGUUGUAAAACUCUUUCACCGGUGAAGAUAAUGACGGUAGCCGGAGAAGAAGCCCCGGCUAACUCCGUGCCAGCAGCCGCGGUAAUACGGAGGGGGCAAGCGUUGUUCGGAUUUACUGGGCGUAAAGGGCGCGUAGGCGGACGGUCAAGUCAGAGGUGAAAGGCCCGGGCUCAACCUGGGACGUGCCUUUGAAACUGAUUGUCUUGAGUGCGGAAGAGGGUGACGGAAUUCCCAGUGUAGAGGUGAAAUUCGUAGAUAUUGGGAAGAACACCGGUGGCGAAGGCGGUCACCUGGUCCGCAACCGACGCUGAGGCGCGAAAGCGUGGGGAGCAAACAGGAUUAGAUACCCGUGUAGUCC
rnacentral:rRNA from 1 species